AUGGAAUCAGAGGCGUGAGCUCCAACGUAUUAAAAUCUUAUGUGCACAAGACUGAUCCUGAUCCAUUCCUGACCACCAAACAUAGGAUCUUGCAAGGCUUUUCAUUCGAGACACUCCUGGGUCUCUGCAGUAAUGACUUAAUACAUCCUUAUUACUUUCUGGAUGAAGAAGUUGAAUGUAGG